rnacentral:rRNA from 1 species
AUGAAGUGCAAUAGAUCUGGUAAACCUAGGAUAAGGACAAAACCAACAGCAGCAGGAGGAAAAAGGAGAAAAUAUAAGACUGAGAAGAAUGCACCCACUGAACUAGAAAAUACUACUAACAGAAGAAGGAACUAUACCAUUAAAACAGGGUGUCAAGCUCAGAUGGUUGUUACCUGGAAAUUUGAUAUAUCACAGUGGAUGGUGACAAGGCUUAUCAUUGAGCACAACCAUGAUCUGCAUCCUCCAGGCGAAGUCAGGUUCCUCAGGUCACACAAAUUCAUCACUGAUCAAGAAAAGGAAUUAACCAGAACUUGCAAACGAGUGAACAUACCAACAAGAAAAAUAAUGGCAAUAAUGGCAUUCUUUCGAGGAAGAGGGCUUUCUUCGUUGCCAUACACAGCAAAACAGAUUAGCAACAUGGGCACGAAAAUGAGAAUAGAUAAUGGCUUGAAUGACAUGAUGCAAGUUGUCUCAUUCUUUGAACAGAAAAAAUCAGAAGAUCCUCUGUUUUACUACUCAUUCAAAACAGAUCCAGCUAAGAAUGUCAUGCAUAUAUUUUGGGCAGAUGGUACAGGUAUAAGGAACUAUCAGCAAUAUGGUGAUUUCCUAAGUUUUGACACAACUUACAAAACAAACAAGUACAAUCUGAAGUUUGCUCCAUUUGUGGGUGUAAAUGGACAUGGAGACAACUGCCUCUUUGCAUGUGGUUUCAUACAAGAUGAGAAGAAGGAAACUUUUGAGUGGUUAUACAAAACUUUUCUGAAGUGCAUGGGAGGGAAAGCUCCAAAAUCUGUAUAA